AUUAAUUUCAAAAUACCUACGCUAUAAAUUUGUGAAAGCUGAUUCCAGAAAUCUGCCUAAGUUAUAUAAUAUAACUUAGUUUUAUUGGAGUAUGUAUCCAUAUAGCUUCCAACUCCAAGCAUAACUUGGCUGAAAUACAACAGGGGAGCAAAAAUACAAAUGUCAUCCUGUGAUUCCUAUUGAGAUACAGCUGUGGGAUAUGUAAUGUACAAAGGAGAUUGAUUUUGUUAAGGCACUUGGGCCCAGAACAAAGUUGAGCAUUUUGUUUUGAAACGAACGUCAUAUUAAUUAUUAAUCGUCGUAAUACUUUACUACCGUAAAUAAUGCCUGGGAACAGAGUAAAUAACAAACCAUACACUUCUCUUAUGGUUGGUCAACAAGAAGCCAUCAUUGUCAGCUGCUCGUGCAGAACAUGAUAAACAUACAUAUAUGUAAAGUUACUAUUUUUAUUUUGGAAACAUAUAUGCAUAUAUUUCCUAAAUUAAUAAAAAAGUAGGUAAACCAAAA